rnacentral:rRNA from 1 species
GAUCAUUACUGUGUUUGGACUUUAUUGUCCUUCAAUGCCGACGCUGUGCGCUCUCGGGCUGCACGCUGAAGCAUAACACUCUUUCCACACCUGUGCACAUACACGAUGGCAGACCACUGAAGUGCAUGUGACUGGGAGUCAGUAGCCCUCGCGGGUGAAGGCGACCGUCAAUGUGCGGAUGGAACUCUGUCGUCGCUUUUACACACUUCUUAUCAGUCUUGUAUGUCAUGUUUUAUAAAAACACAACUUUCAGCAACGGAUCUCUUGGCUCUCGCAUCGAUGAAGAACGCAGCGAAUUGCGAUACGUAAUGUGAAUUGCAGAAUUCAGUGAAUCAUCGAAUCUUUGAACGCACCUUGCGCCACGUGGUAUUCCACGGGGCACGCCUGUUUGAGCGUCACGUUAACCAUCGCAUCGUGGAUGUAACAAUCUGCGGGGCGGAUUUGGGUGUUUGCCGUCGUUGGCUCGCCUUGAAAUGCAUUUAGCUGUCUAAGGACACGCGCCGCUGGUGUGAUAAUUUCCUUUUGCGCCUAUGGUGUUUGUGACCGGUGAAAGGCUCAUAAACCGCCCGUCAGGGCAAUAACAUUUUGCGCUUUGACCUCAAAUCAGGUGGNACUACCCGCUGAACUUAAGCAUAUCAAUAAGCGGAGGAAAAGAAACUAACAAGGAUUCCCCUAGUAACGGCGAGUGAAGAGGGAAGAGCUCAAAUUUGAAAUCUGGCGGUCUACGGCCGUCCGAGUUGUAAUUUAGAGAGGCGUCUUCCGCGUCGGACCACACACAAGUUCCCUGGAACGGGGCGUCAUAGAGGGUGAGAAUCCCGUAUAUGGUGUGGACUACCGAGGCUAUGUGAUGCGCCCUCGAAGAGUCGAGUUGUUUGAGAAUGCAGCUCAAAACGGGUGGUAAAUUCCAUCUAAAGCUAAAUAUUGGCGAGAGACCGAUAGCGAACAAGUACCGUGAGGGAAAGAUGAAAAGAACUUUGGAAAGAGAGUUAAACAGUACGUGAAAUUGCUGAAAGGGAAACGCUUGGAGUCAGUCGCUUCGCCGUAGAUUCAGCCGGGCUUCUGUCCGGUCUACUUCUGCAGUGAGGGGCCAACAUCACUUUCGAGCGCGGGAAGAGGUUCAGAGGAAUGUGGCACCUUCGGGUGUGUUAUAGCCUUUGUUCAGUACCGUGCUUGGGAGUGAGGACCGCAGUGUGCCCGCAAAGGGUUGGGGGGUUCGCCUC